rnacentral:tRNA from 1 species
GGAGCGGUGGCGGAGCGGUCUAACGCGGCGGUCUUGAAAACCGACGGGCCUCCGGGUCCCGGGGGUUCGAAUCCCUCCCGCUCCGCCA